AUGCUCUGUUUUUUCUUUAGAACAAAUAAAUCUUUCCCCGUUUACUAAAGAUUUCUGUGGAGAGAAACCAUUGUGAGUUGGUAACCAAAUGUUUUGAGGCCUUGCGUAGGCAGGGCU
rnacentral:snRNA from 1 species